AUAUAUAGCCUCUAAAUAAUAAAAUCAGAACAGUAUAUAUGUCACACAUACACACACACACACACACACAGAUGGGAUGGGUUACAGACGACAUUCCCUGCGUCAUCAAUAUGCCUAGACUAGGUACGUAUAGGCCUAUACCUACACGGACUGCGUCAAGGUGUAUAAGAGGCACUUGAGUUGCUGACGGAGAGGGAGGAGGAGGAGCAGGAGGAGGAGGAAGAAGAAGAAGAAGAAGAAGAAGAAGAAGAACCAGAAGAAGAAGAAGAUGAUGAUGAUGAUGAUGAUGAUUAAGAAGAAUGAUGAGGAUGAGCAUGAUGAAGAAGAGGAGGAGGAGGAGGAGAAACAAAGGAUGAUAAGAUAAGACAGGAAAAGGGAAGAGAGAGGACGAUAAGGGACAAGAGAAGAGGAGAAGCUAAAACAAAAAUAAACUAAUAAAAUGAUGGAGUCGUAAAAAAGAAAAAGAAAGAAAAAAAACUGUCCAAACCGUAGGAGAUACAGACAGGUGCAGAAGAGGGGGAGGAGGAGCCGGAUGAGGAUGAGGAGGAGGAGGAGGAAGGAUCUCUGGAAGCAGGGUUCCGUUAAUCCUUUGAUGUUUCCCUGAAGGACUGCUAAUAAGGAAAACAAAGGGAAAAGUAAAUAAAUAUCACAAUAGACUUUCACUGUGAUCCUUUCUGCUCUCGCAUCGCUUUCAUCUUUCUUGUUCUUGUUCUUGUUUUUUUGUAUUGUUCUUCAUUCUCGUUCUUCUUCUUCUUUUUCUUUUUCUUCUUUUUCUUCUUUUUCUU